rnacentral:rRNA from 1 species
UACGGAGGGAGCUAGCGUUGUUCGGAAUUACUGGGCGUAAAGCGCGUGUAGGCGGUUGCCCAAGUCGGGUGUGAAAGCCUUGAGCUCAACUCAAGAAAUGCACUCGGUACUGGGUGACUAGAGGACCGGAGAGGAUAGUGGAAUUCCCAGUGUAGUGGUGAAAUACGUAGAGAUUGGGAAGAACACCAGUGGCGAAGGCGGCUAUCUGGACGGUUUCUGACGCUAAGACGCGAAAGCGUGGGGAGC